rnacentral:lncRNA from 13 species
CUCCAGCCUGGGUAACAAGAGCGAAACUCCAUCUCAAAAAAAAAAAAAAAAAAAAAAAAGAAGGAAAAAACCUCCAUAAUUCACAAAUGACAGAGUUGUUUACCCAGAAAAUCCAAGACGUCACAGGCAGCUUUUAGGGCCACUAAGAAGCCAAGUUUCCUGGGAAAAGAGUAAACUAAAGUCAGUUUCAUUCCUGCAGACCCACAACAGCGAGUUAGGAAAUGCGAUGUUAAAAUGAUGCAAUGUGGAUAUCAGGAAAAUACACGCGUGUGUGACGGUCACUACCAGCCGUCCACUGGAUCCGACUGAAGGAUGCAGAGUAUUGACCCUGGAUGUGUCCGUGAGGGCGUCGCUAAAAGAGAUUAGCAUUUGCGUCAGCGGGCUGGGGAGGCAGACCCACCCUUAAUCUGGUGGGCACCGUCUAAUCAGCUGCCAGAGUAGAAGCAGGCAGGAAAACGUGAAAAGGCGAGACGGGCCUGGACUCCCAGCCCACAUCUUUCUCCUGUGCUGGAUGCUUCCUGCCCUCAAACAUCGGACUCCAAUUCUUCAGUUUCGGGACUGGGACUGGCCCUCCCUGCUCCUCAACGUGCAGACGGCCCGUUGUGGGACCCUGUGAUCAAAGCCCUGACGAAUACACUGUGUCUAGGAAUGAAUUAACCAAAUAUUUACUGUGCUCAUGGGUAGGGAAACGCAAUACGGUGAAGACGCCAGUUUUCCUCAAAUUAAUUUGUGGCUUUACAGCAAUUCCAGUAAAAUCCUCGAAGGUGUAUGUUGAACUUCACAAGCUGAUUCUGAAAUAUAGGCAGAGGACCAGAAAAUCAGGAUGAGCUACAGCUCCCCACGAGCAGCGGAGACAGGGCAGGAAGCUUUGGCCUUCGAGCCUGGAUUAUGUAUUAUAAAACAGCCUCACUAUCACGGGGUAGUGUCAGCACAGGGAUUCUUUUUUCCUUUUUUAAAGCAGAAAAAGGAAGGCUGGAAUUGAAUUAGCAAAUAGCUCAACACCCUACAUCAAGCGUGCUGAGCUGGAGGGAGAAGCUGGGUUCUUUAGUAACAAGUGUGGGGGCAAGUGAUGGUCCC